AUCAGCACAUCUUCCCUGCCCUGUGUGUUUGUUGCAAAGGAUCCAUACUAAAUAUGAUUUUUGUUUGAAAAUAACAGAGUAACGUUUAAAUUUUCAGCGGUCCAACACAUGCUUUAUUUUGUGCUGUAAACUAACCUUUUUAUUGCUACAGAUGCCUUAGAUGAUCCAGUACAAUAACUACUGCUUGUGUCUUCUAUGUCUCACAUUAUGUGUUAUUUUAAAUUGUGGUAUAUAGCCUGGAUCAGAGAUCAUGGACAAAGGUUUCUACCUGUUGUACUAAGGCUCUUGGAGACUGACCGAAUACAUUUUUUUUUAAAGUCUCUGAGAGUUCUGAAAGAUUCUGGUGAAACCAUGUCUGUGUAAUCUGGUCCAGAUGUUUGUUCAAUUUCUAUAAGAUUUAAGUUGAUGCAGAAGCAUCUCAGAUUAGUUAAUGGAAGUUUUAUACAAAUAGUUGAGUUAUGAGCGCGCUAUAUAAAUGGAUCCUUUCUUUAUAUACAAUACUAUAGUAGAUUAAAGUAAUGAAGUUAAUUAAGAAAA